rnacentral:SRP_RNA from 1 species
GCAUGGGUCUUGCGCAACGAAAAUCUGUGAACCGUGUCAGGUCAGGAAUGAAGCAGCACUAAACAGAACCUUUCGUGUGCCGCAAGGUCGCCUGUGCAAA